ensembl:lncRNA
GUCCCCUAUCUACAUACAUACUGUAUCACUGUCCCCUAUCUACAUACAUACUGUAUCACUGUCCCCUAUCUACAUACAUACUGUGUCACUGUAUCACUGUCCCAGAUCUACAUACAUACUGUAUCACUGUCCCCUAUCUACAUACAUACUGUAUAGCUGUCCCCUAUCUACAUACAUACUGUAUCACUGUCCCCUAUCUACAUACAUACUGUAUCACUGUCCCCUAUCUACAUACAUACAUACUGUAUCACUGUCCCCUAUCUACAUAAUACUGUAUCACUGUCCCCUAUCUACAUACAUACUGUGUCACUGUAUCACUGUCCCAGAUCUACAUACAUACUGUAUCACUGUCCCCUAUCUACAUAAUACUGUAUCACUGUCCCCUAUCUACAUACAUACUGUAUCACUGUCCCCUAUCUACAUACAUACUGUAUCACUGUCCCCUAUCUACAUACAUACUGUAUCACUGUCCCCUAUCUACAUACAUACUGUAUCACUGUAUCACUGUCCCCUAUCUACAUACUGUAUCACUGCCCCCUAUCUACAUACAUACUGUAUCACUGUCCCCUAUCUACAUACAUACUGUAUCACUGACCCCUAUCUACAUACACACUGUAUCACUGUCCCCUAUCUACAUACAUACUGUAUCACUGUCCCCUAUCUACAUACAUACUGUAUCACUGUAUCACUGUCCCCUAUCUACAUACAUACUGUAUCACUGUCCCCUAUCUACAUACAUACUGUAUCACUGUAUCACUGUCCCCUAUCUACAUACAUACUGGAUCACUGACCCCCAUCUACAUACAUACUGUAUCACUGUCCCCUAUCUACAUACAUACUGUAUCACUGUCCCCUAUCUACAUACAUACUGUAUCACUGUCCCCUAUCUACAUACAUACUGUAUCACUGUCCCCUAUCUACAUACAUACUGUAUCACUGUAUCACUGUCCCCUAUCUACACACAUACUGUAUCACUGUCCCCUAUCUACAUACAUACAUACUGUAUCACUGUCCCCUAUCUACAUACAUACUGUAUCUCUGUCCCCUAUCUACAUACAUACUGUAUCACUGUAUCACUGUCCCCUAUCUACAUACAUACUGUAUCACUGUCCCCUAUCUACAUACAUACAUACUGUAUCACUGUCCCCUAUCUACAUACAUACUGUAUCUCUGUCCCCUAUCUACAUACAUACUGUAUCACUGUAUCACUGUCCCCUAUCUACAUACAUACUGUAUCACUGUCCCCUAUCUACAUACAUACUGUAUCACUGUCCCCUAUCUACAUACAUACUGUAUCACUGUCCCCUAUCUACAUACUUACUGUAUCACUGUCCCCUAUCUACAUACUUACUGUAUCACUGUAUCACUGUCCCCUAUCUACAUACAUACUGUAUCACUGUCCCCUAUCUACAUACAUACUGUAUCACUGUCCCCUAUCUACAUACACACUGUAUCAUUGUCCCCUAUCUACAUACACACUGUAUCACUGUCCCCUAUCUACAUACACACUGUAUCAUUGUCCCCUAUCUACAUACAUACUGUAUCACUGUCCCCUAUCUACAUACAUACUGUAUCACUGUAUCACUGUCCAAUAUCUACAUAUAUACUGUAUCACUGUAUCACUGUCCCCUAUCUACAUACAUACUGUAUCACUGUCCCCUAUCUACACACAUACUGUAUCACUGUCCCCUAUCUACAUACAUACUGUAUCACUGUAUCACUGUCCCCUAUCUACAUACAUACUGUAUCA